rnacentral:rRNA from 1 species
AUGGGUCAAACUCUUGGUUGUUCUUCUCCCCUGGCCCUGAUUUUGCUUAGCCACGGAGAAUUCCGUCCAUCACGCCCUGCAAUCAAUCUGUCCAUCUUGACUGCUCAAGAUGGAAUGGCGAGGACAGUUCGAUCGACCAUAACAUGGAGAUGCAUCCGAUUUAUCGGCCAUGCAAGCGUCACAUCAGUCCACCGAGAAAAGAUCUGCACUGCACUGCACUGCUCAUACCGGAAUAUCUUGCGCAGUUUCCAGAGCAAAGAUUAUACAACGAGAGAAAAGAGAGGAGGCUCCGACGGCCAGAUGCACGCUGCUACGCGACAGAGCAGGACACAGUUUUCACAUCAUGACCCAAAUCGCGACCCCUUAUCCUGA